GACGAACGCUGGCGGCGUGCUUAACACAUGCAAGUCGAACGGAAAGGCCCUGCUUUUGUGGGGUGCUCGAGUGGCGAACGGGUGAGUAACACGUGAGUAACCUGCCCUUGACUUUGGGAUAACUUCAGGAAACUGGGGCUAAUACCGGAUAGGAGCUCCUGCUGCAUGGUGGGGGUUGGAAAGUUUCGGCGGUUGGGGAUGGACUCGCGGCUUAUCAGCUUGUUGGUGGGGUAGUGGCUUACCAAGGCGUUGACGGGUAGCCGGCCUGAGAGGGUGACCGGCGACACUGGAGCUGGGCCACGGACCAGACUCCUACGAGACGCCGCAGUCGGCAAUAUUGGACAGAGGGCGCAAGCAUGAUCCAGCCAUACCGAGUCUGUGACGACGGCCUUCGGGUUGUAAAGCCCUCCUGUUGGGUAAGAACAGCAGCCGCUUAAUACCAAGCUGUUCUGACGGUACUCAAAGAAUAAGCACCGGCUAACUUCGUG
rnacentral:rRNA from 1 species